rnacentral:rRNA from 1 species
GCAUUUACUGGGCCUUAGCGUCGUAGCUGGCCGACAAGUCCGUCGGGAAAUCCACUGGCUCAACCAGUGGGCGUCCGGCGGAAACUGUGCGGCUUGGGACCGGAAGGCUCGAGAGGUACGUCCGGGGUAGGAGUGAAAUCCUGUAAUCCCGAACGGACCACCGAUGGCGAAAGCAUCUCGAGACAACGGAUCCGACAGUGAGGGACGAAAGCUAGGGUCUCGAACC